rnacentral:rRNA from 1 species
GACGAACGCUGGCGGCGUGCUUAACACAUGCAAGUCGAACGGUGAAGCGCCUUCCUUUUUGGUGGGUGUGGGAGAGGGGCGAAAGGGUGAGUAACACGUGAGUACCCUGCCCCCUUCUUCUGGAUAACCGCAUGAAAGUGUGGCUAAUACGGGAUAUUCUGGGUCUGUCGCAUGAUGGGUCUGGGAGAGAUAUUGUUUAGGUGGGGGAUGGGCUCGCGGCCUUUCAGCUUGUUGGUGGGGUGGUGGCCUACCAUGGCGGUGGCGGGUAGACGGCCUGAGAGGGUGGACGGCCACACUGGGACUGAGACACGGCCCAGACUCCUACGGGAGGCAGCAGUGGGGAAUAGUGCACGAUGGGAGCAAGGCUGAAGCAGCGACGCCGCGUGGGGGAUGGAGGCCUUCGGGUUGUGAACCUCUUGCGCCAGUGAAGCAGGCCUGCCUCGUUUGUGGGUGGGUUGACGGUAGCUGGAUAAGAAGCACCGGCUAACUACGUG